rnacentral:rRNA from 1 species
UACGUAGGGUGCAAGCGUUGUCCGGAAUUAUUGGGCGUAAAGAGCUCGUAGGCGGUUUGUUGCGUCGGCUGUGAAAUCCCGAGGCUCAACCUCGGGUCUGCAGUCGAUACGAGCAAACUAGAGUGUUGUAGGGGAGACUGGAAUUCCUGGUGUAGCGGUGAAAUGCGCAGAUAUCAGGAGGAACACCGGUGGCGAAGGCGGGUCUCUGGGCAACAACUGACGCUGAGGAGCGAAAGCGUGGGGAGCGAACAGG